rnacentral:misc_RNA from 1 species
GAUGAAGCGCAGCGAAAUGCGAUAAGUAAUGUGAAUUGCAGAAUCCAGUGAAUCAUCGAAUCUUUGAACGCACAUUGCGCCCGCCAGCAUUCUGGCGGGCAUGCCUGUUCGAGCGUCAUUUCAACCCUCGACCUCCCCUUGGGGAGGUCGGCGUUGGGGACCGGCAGCACACCGCCGGCCCUGAAAUGGAGUGGCGGCCCGUCUGCGGCGACCUCUGCGUAGUAAUACAGCUCGCACCGGAACCCCGACGCGGCCACGCCGUAAAACACCCAACUUCUGAACGUUGACCUCGAAUCAGGUAGGACUACCCGCUGAACUUAAGCAUAUCAAUAAGCGGAGGA